ACGCCCAACAGAACCGUUAGAACCAGCGAGC
rnacentral:piRNA from 1 species